UGAAAUGGAAAAUGAUUAAAUUUCAACAAUUAUUAACCCAAAACUUGCUUGCUGAACUUGAACACGCUCUUGAAGCAUAUAUAAACAGGAGAAGUUGGAGAUCUUUUACAACUAUGAUGAUAAUCUAAUGAAUCUAGCAAGUCUAGAGUCCUUUAGAAUUUUAACAUUCAAAUGGAGUAUACUAGCAGCAUCCUUAUUUUGUUGUUGUGGUUGAUUGGAGUUGUGGUUGCAAUAAGUGCUCUUACCUGUUUUCCAAAAUACUGUGUAGGAGUGGAUUGCAAUUCAGAUACAUGCAGAUCUGACCAACUGUAUAAUGAAGAAGAGCAUCUUUGUCGAUGUUGUUCAUUUUGCCCUGCAUUUGGUCUUCAACGUGCUGCAAAUUUAUAACCAUGCAAAAUAAAAAUUCAAGAUAUGAACAGAUGAUCUAACAUGGAAUUUUACGACAAUUGUGUAUCUGUAACAUAAAUGGUAGAUUGAAAGAGUAUUCUACCAGUUUUGGCUUUUCCUGAAAAUUGUUCAUUCAACUAAAAGAAAAAAAUGCAUAAGAGUCUCAUCCUUCUGAUAAUUUCUGUGGGAAUUGCUUAUGCAGUUGUUUGUGCUCCAAAUUACUGUGAUAGCGUCAAAUGCAAACCAAAAAAUUGCAAACAUAACCAAGUAUAUAAAAACAAUGGAUCCUUAUGUGGAUGUUGUCCGGUUUGCAUCGAUAUACUACAAAAAGGGGAAUCAUGUAAAGAACUCUUUAUGUUGCAAUCAUCUCCAAUGGUACGAUGUGCUAAAGGAUUGAGAUGCCACGCUGAAUCUCGUACAUGUGAAGAAUAAGGAUUCAUCAAGCUCAUCUAUGGAUGAUUUUUGCAUAAAUGAUGCUUUAUUGAAAUACUGCUUUAUAAGAGAAUUAUAAUAACUUUUAUUUUAUUUCGACUACAUUCAUGACGAUGUUAAGGAGUACUCAAAGAAUGUGAUUAUUUUCUGACGUUAUACUUACAAAUAAAACGUUAUACUCAGCUAUUGGAAUUAUGAAUAAUACUUAUAUUGUAUAUAUUGCUUUAUUUGGCAAUUUGAUAGUAAACCAAUUGAAUGGUAAUAAAAAGAAUAAUGACGAAAUUAUUAAAGUAAAUCAUAUUCUGAAUUCAAAUUGUUAUGUUUUAUUUUUUCAUGACUUUUUUUUUUAAUAUGCUUUUCGAUUUCACAAAUAUUACUUGUAACUUAAGCGAUCAUUCAGUGACUGAUCAUACCAAAGAAAACGAAAAUUCAAAUAAAUGUUAUUAA